rnacentral:rRNA from 1 species
GACGAACGCUGGCGGCGUGCCUAAUACAUGCAAGUCGAGCGAAGUUUUUCUGGUGCUUGCCCUAGAAAAACUUAGCGGCGAACGGGUGAGUAACACGUAAAGAACCUGCCUCAUAGACUGGGACAACUAUUGGAAACGAUAGCUAAUACCGGAUAACAGUAUUUCUCGCAUGAGAGAUAUUUAAAAGUUGGUUAUGCUAACACUAUGAGAUUGCUUUGCGGUGCAUUAGCUAGUUGGUGGGGUAAAGGCCCACCAAGGCGACGAUGCAUAGCCGACCUGAGAGGGUGAUCGGCCACACUGGGACUGAGACACGGCCCAGACUCCUACGGGAGGCAGCAGUAGGGAAUCUUCCGCAACGGGCGAAAGCCUGACGGAGCAACGCCGCGUGAGUGAAGAAGGAUUUCGGUUCGUAAAGCUCUGUUGUUAGGGAAGAAUGGAUAUGUAGUAACUAUACAUGUAAGAGACGGUACCUAACCAGAAAGCCACGGCUAACUACGUG